AAAUAACCAGACAUAAUUAUUUAAUGAAUAGAAAAAUCCAAAGAACAACAUUUAUUUGUUUCUUUUUUUCUUGUAACAAUUAGUCUUUUCUGUCAUUUUGAUUAAUUUAAUGCAUCCUUGCUGACUAUCAAUUUCAAUAUGUUUAAAUAAAUUUCUUAAAAAAAAAAAAAAAAAAACUUACUGAACUUUUGAACAGUCAUUCAUACACACACACAUGGACACACACUAUUAUGAAAAUAUAGUAAUACGUCUUAAGUCGAUGGCACAACAUACAGGCAUAAAGCAGUUUUAGGGAGCCCAAAUCAUUUUUAGAUUGAUAACUUUGUUGAUUUUUGUAUGAAAGGCAACCGUAUUUUAACAUAAAAACUACUUCAGGUUCAACACUGAUGCAUGUUUUUGUGUAACAAACUGAAUGGGACAUCUCAGCUCACAAAACUGUUAAAGGUUAACUAUGUUUAAACUCAACUGUCAUCCAAAUUCCCACACAGAGUAUUCCCUGUUCUGCUAUGUUGCUUCCAUUAACUUUAGCUGACGAUAAUCGCUUCUGCUUUCUCUUUACCCAGCUGGCCAGCUCAGAUAGAAGAACUCAAGCCUCAUUUGAACAGUCAGUAUGCACCUACUCCAUAGACAGUGUAAACCAGAGGAGGCUAUGUUCACCCAUCCAGAAUAAAGCGUUAUUGAGGAUGAAAUGGGAUUUUUAAUUGGCUAGGGUUACAGUGCCAUGUAAGGGCUCCAACAGGUCCGGUGCUGUCACAAUGGCACUGUCCUACAAUCCGAGGCCAUGGCAUUCGGCACAAAUGCGUGUCUUUUCACGUUACAUGGAAUAAUGGCAUUAUGGGAGGAACCAUUUUGUGGAGUAGAAUGCAGGCCUUUUUGAAAUUAAACCCCCUUAUGACACUGUAUUUGCAUUUUAGACAGGUUUAGAUUACUAGCAGGAAUAUCUCAUUUGUUUUUAUUAAACACUGGAGACGAGAUGUUCUGGAGUGCAUUAUGUUCUGUCAGACUAGAAUUUUUUAUUUUUUUGAAGUUCUGCAUUGCAUUAACUUUACCUCUGAAUUUAUGAUUAAUGCAGGACUCCAGGGCUCACCUAUCAUGCUCCAAAGCCUGUUGUUCUUGGGAAAUCAAUAUCUGAAAGGUGCAAGGAUUUCACCCAGAGCUUCAUGCUUCCCUGGCUCAAUGUGUGUUUUACCAGAUUCAAUUGGAAGCACAUGGUUGCUGAGAAAUGAGCUGGGAGAAGUGACCCCUUUAACCUCUAAAGUUUCUGAAAGGAAGAAAAAGCAGGAAAGUGGUAUCUGGUUGGCAUGAGGAGAUAGUGUGUGUGUGGGAUUGGUGUGGUGGGGGAAAUUGGGGAGGUGUUGGUCAGUCAAGUGGGAAAAGGCCUCAGUUUUUCAUUUCAUCAAGCAAUAAAACCCCCAAGGCCUUGUGGCCUUUAUCUGUG
ensembl:lncRNA